rnacentral:rRNA from 1 species
UACGAAGGGGGCUAGCGUUGCUCGGAUUGACUGGGCGUAAAGGGCGCGUAGGCGGUUUGUACAGUCAGACGUGAAAUUCCUGGGCUCAACCUGGGGGCUGCGUUUGAUACGUGCAGACUUGAGUUCGGAAGAGGGUCGUGGAAUUCCCAGUGUAGAGGUGAAAUUCGUAGAGAUGUGGAGGAACACCAGUGGCGAAGGCGACUCUUUGGCCUGUAACUGACGCUGAGGCGCGAAAGCGUGGGGAGCAAACAGG